rnacentral:lncRNA from 1 species
AAAAGGUGUCCAGAAGUGUCCAAAACGCUUGUAUAACGUGUGCAAUUGGUAGUUCUUUCAUAGUAUACCUUUGUGGUAUCUUCUCCUAGCCUUUGUGGCCAUAAAUCAUCAUCCUUUCUUGUCCUACGUGGGUAAGAUUGUAUAGCAACCAAGGUGAAUCAAUUGGUUGUGGUUUGGAGCCGUUUGGAUUGGUUGUUGGUAGAGAAAGGUACGUUGGACUGAGUCUGGAAAACCACCGUUUGAAGAUCCUUUUG